rnacentral:rRNA from 1 species
GUUGAACGCUGGCGGCAGGCCUAACACAUGCAAGUCGAUGGGGUGAAUGUGGUUUGCUCGUGGAGUCAGGGGCGGACGGGGGAGUAAUGCUUAGGAAUUUGCCUGGUAGUGGGGGAUAACGUCCGGAAACGGGCGAUAAUACCGCAUAAGUCCUGAGGGAGAAAGUGGGGGAUCUUCGGAACGCACGCUAUCAGAUGAGCCUAGGUCGGUUUAACUAGUUGGUGGGGUCAAGGGCUACCAAGGCGACGGUUCGGAACUAGUCUGAGAGGAUGAGCAGGCCGGCUGGAACGGGUAGACGGUCCAGAGUCCUACGGGAGGCAGCAGUGAGGAAUAUUGGACACUGGGGGGAAGCCUGAUGCAGCAAUGCGGCAUGUGUGAAGAAGGUCUUCUGAGUGUACAACAAUUUAUGUCGGAUGGAAGAGCAGUAAGUGAAGACCAGGCUGUUAUGACGGUACCAGCAGAAGAAGCACCGGCUAAAUACGUG